GGAGCUGUGGCUCAAGUGGUAGAGCAUCAGUCUUGAGUGAAAAGGCUGAAACAGUGCUCAGGCCCUGAGUUCAAGCCUCAGUGCUGCCU
rnacentral:tRNA from 1 species